rnacentral:rRNA from 1 species
GUCUAUGGCCAAAUCGCCCUCAACGUGCCCAAUUUUGUCUGAUCUCAAAAGCUAAGCAGGGUCAGACCCAGUUUGUACUUAGAUGGGAGGAAGGAGAGAGGCUGGGACGUCAAGGACA